GUCUCUUCAAGCUAGUCAGUGAAACUGACUGCCUGUUAAAAAGCAGGCAUACRAAAAUAAGACAAAAAGACCCUGUGAAACUUCAARUGUCUUCCAACCAGAUGUAAGACAUUUUUCGGUUGGGGCAACCUACGAGAACUAAACCUCAUAAAAUCAUAAGGCACACAAGCCRAACAGCACCAAUGAUCCAGUACCACUGAUCAAAGAACAAAGCUACUCCAGGGAUAACAGCGCCACAUUCUUAAAGGUCCAUAUCAACAAGAAUACCUACGACCUCGAUGUUGGAUCAGGGCACCCAAAUGGCGCAGAAGCUAUUAAAGGUUCGUUGUUCAACGAUUAAAGU
rnacentral:rRNA from 1 species